CGCGUAGGUGGUUUGGUCAGUCAGAUGUGAAAGCCCCGGGCUCAACCUGGGAACUGCACCUGAUACUGCCAAACUAGAGUACGGUAGAGGGUAGUGGAAUUUCCGGUGUAGCGGUGAAAUGCGUAGAGAUCGGAAGGAACACCAGUGGCGAAGGCGACUACCUGGACCGAUACUGACACUGAGGUGCGAGAGCGUGGGUAGCAAACA
rnacentral:rRNA from 1 species